UACGUAGGGUGCAAGCGUUGUCCGGAAUUAUUGGGCGUAAAAGAGCUCGUAGGCGGCCUGUCACGUCGGCUGUGAAAACCCCGGGGGCUCAACCCCCGGGCCUGCAGUCGAUACGGGCAGGCUAGAGUUCGGCAGGGGAGACUGGAAUUCCUGGUGUAGCGGUGAAAUGCGCAGAUAUCAGGAGGAACACCGGUGGCGAAGGCGGGUCUCUGGGCCGACACUGACGCUGAGGAGCGAAAGCGUGGGGAGCAAACAGG
rnacentral:rRNA from 1 species